GACGAACGCUGGCGGCGUGCUUAACACAUGCAAGUCGAGCGGAAAGGCCCUUUCGGGGGUACUCGAGCGGCGAACGGGUGAGUAACACGUGAGUAAUCUGCCCUGGACUCUGGGAUAGCCACCGGAAACGGUGAUUAAUACCGGAUACAACCACUAUCCGCAUGGGUUGGUGGUGGAAAGUUUUUUCGGUCCAGGAUGUUCUCGCGGCCUAUCAGCUUGUUGGUGAGGUAAUGGCUCACCAAGGCUUUGACGGGUAGCCGGCCUGAGAGGGUGACCGGUCACACUGGGACUUAGCCACGGCCCAGACUCCUACGGGAGGCAGCAGUGGGGAAUAUUGGACAAUGGGCGGAAGCCUGAUCCAGCAACGCCGCGUGCGGGAUGACGGCCUUCGGGUUGUAAACCUCUUUCAGUACCGACGAAGCGCAAGUGACGGUAGGUACAGAAGAAGGACCGGCCAACUACGUGCCAGCCGCCGCCGUAAAAC
rnacentral:rRNA from 1 species